AACGAACGCUGGCGGCAUGCCUAACACAUGCAAGUCGAACGAAGGCUUCGGCCUUAGUGGCGCACGGGUGCGUAACGCGUGGGAACCUGCCCUUUGGUUCGGAAUAACCAGGGGAAAUUCUGGCUAAUACCGGAAGAUGUCGAAAGACCAAAGAUUUAUCGCCAUAGGAUGGGCCCGCGUAGGAUUAGCUAGUUGGUGAGGUAAAGGCUCACCAAGGCGACGAUCCUUAGCUGGUCUGAGAGGAUGAUCAGCCACACUGGGACUGAGACACGGCCCAGACUCCUACGGGAGGCAGCAGUGGGGAAUAUUGGACAAUGGGCGAAAGCCUGAUCCAGCAAUGCCGCGUGAGUGAUGAAGGCCUUAGGGCUGUAAAGCUCUUUUACCCGGGAUGAUAAUGACAGUACCGGGAGAAUAAGCCCCGGCUAACUCCGUGCCAGCCGCCGCCGUAA
rnacentral:rRNA from 1 species